ACGGAAGGCAGCAGUGGGGAAUAUUGCACAAUGGGGGAAACCCUGAUGCAGCGACGCCGCGUGAGUGAAGAAGUAUUUCGGUAUGUAAAGCUCUAUCAGCAGGGAAGAAAAUGACGGUACCUGACUAAGAAGCCCCGGCUAACUACGUGCCAGCAGCCGCGGUAAUACGUAGGGGGCAAGCGUUAUCCGGAUUUACUGGGUGUAAAGGGAGCGUAGACGGUUUUGCAAGUCAGAAGUGAAAGCCCGGGGCCCAACCCCGGAACUGCUUUUGAAACUGUAGAACUGGAGUGCAGGAGAGGUAAGUGGAAUUCCUAGUGUAGCGGUGAAAUGCGUAGAUAUUAGGAGGAACACCAGUGGCGAAGGCGGCUUACUGGACUGUAACUGACGUUGAGGCUCGAAGGCGUGGGGAGCAAACAGGAUUAGAUACCCUGGUA
rnacentral:rRNA from 1 species